GAUGAACGCUGGCGGCGUGCCUAAUACAUGCAAGUCGAGCGAACAUACGAGGAGCUUGCUCCUCUGACGUUAGCGGCGGACGGGUGAGUAACACGUGGAUAACCUACCUAUAAGACUGGGAUAACUUCGUGAAACCGGAGCUAAUGCCGGAUAAUAUAUUGAACCGCAUGGUUCUAUAGUGAAUGACGUUUUUGCUGUCACUUUUAGAUGGAUCCGCGCCGCAUUAGCUAGUUGGUAAGGUAACGGCUUACCAAGGCAACGAUGCGUAGCCGACCUGAGAGGGGGAUCGGCCACACUGGAACUGAGACACGGUACAGACUCCUAAGGGAGGCAGCAGUAGGGAAUCGUCCGCAAUGGGAGAAAGCUUGACGGAGCAAAGCCGCGUGAGUGAUGAAGGUCUUCGGAUCGUAAAACUCUGUUAUUAGGGAAGAACAAAUGUGUAAGUAACUAUGCACGUCUUGACGGUACCUAAUCAGAAAGCCACGGCUAACUACGUG
rnacentral:rRNA from 1 species